ensembl:lncRNA
CUGUACUCAGUCUGUUCGCAUUAAAUUAAAGCUGUUCAUUGCUGCGGAAGUUAGUGCAACACUGUGGGUUUGUUCCACACCAAUUUCCUACACGUGCUGCAGAUCAGAAUAUUAUUCUUUUUUCCGCCUAAUAGUCUACUUUUUAUUUGAUUUGAUUUAUUGUUUUUAUUUAUAAAUCUUGCCUACGUCCUUAUUGCCUGUAGCUGUUUCACGCGACGUUAUUGGAGCAGUGAAGACGCGAGCCAGCGCGAGCCUGCGCGAGCUCUACACGCCCAUGAGAACCGGGCAGGAAAACGUCGCGUGCGUGAGCGUGUGUGUAUGUGUACAUGUACACACUACAGCUUCUCGGACUUUCUAUGGAUGUGAUAUCUCAAGAACAUGUCCUUGUUUUUGAAGAUGGAUCCUUUUAGUCUUGUCCUCGACGCAGCAGAGACCAGCACGAGCACUAUGAUGUCUGCAAGUUGUGUGAUUGGGAUCAUUAACCAAACGUCUUGGAGAGAAGGUUAAUUGCUCUCUUCAGCGUGUAGCUACAGAGAAAGCGCGCGCGCACGGGCAGGUGCACAAACAGCACGGACUGGGGAGAAGGAAAAACACUAAACAAAUCACAGGCUUUCAGGGCAGAUAUCCAACUACAGCCUUGUCGGAUUCACGAUUCAAGGACGGUUCUGGGUUUAAC